UACGUACUCCCUCCGUCCUAAAACUUUUGUCUUAAAUUUGUCUAGAUACGGAUGUAUUUAGUCAAGUUUCAGCGUUAGAAACAUCUAUAUGUAGACAAAUCUGAGACAAGAAUUUUGAGAUGAAGGUAAUAGAGU
rnacentral:pre_miRNA from 1 species